UACGAAGGGGGCUAGCGUUGCUCGGAAUCACUGGGCGUAAAGGGCGCGUAGGCGGAUGGCAUAGUCAGAUGUGAAAUUCCCGGGCUUAACCUGGGGACUGCAUUUGAUACGUGUCGUCUUGAGUUCGGAAGAGGGUCGUGGAAUUCCCAGUGUAGAGGUGAAAUUCGUAGAUAUGUCACAGAACACCAAUUGCGAAGGCAGCUUACUAAGCUAUGAUUGACGCUGAGGCACGAAAGCGUGGGGAGCAAACAGG
rnacentral:rRNA from 1 species